AAGUACCUACGGGGGGCAGCAGUAGGGAAUCUUCCACAAUGGACGAAAGUCUGAUGGAGCAACGCCGCGUGAGUGAAGAAGGGUUUCGGCUCGUAAAGCUCUGUUGGUAGUGAAGAAAGAUAGAGGUAGUAACUGGCCUUUAUUUGACGGUAAUUACUUAGAAAGUCACGGCUAACUACGUGCCAGCAGCCGCGGUAAUACGUAGGUGGCAAGCGUUGUCCGGAUUUAUUGGGCGUAAAGCGAGUGCAGGCGGUUCCAUAAGUCUGAUGUGUAAGCCUUCGGCUCAACC
rnacentral:rRNA from 1 species